rnacentral:lncRNA from 1 species
UGCAAGUCCAUGUUAAUCUGUAGCUUUCACAUCUGCAGAUUUGUCUGUGGCCUCGAUUGCUUGGUAUGAUGCUGUCUGCAAAUGCAUCUGAACAUCUCCAGUGAAGGUUAUUGUUUGAUGACUCUCUGGGCAAAUCUAGAGAGGUAAGUGACUUACUGGGAGAAAUUCUCGUGACUGUGUCAUUAUCUCCUUUCCAAGAGGUUACU